rnacentral:rRNA from 1 species
AGACUAUACUAGAGUUUGAUCAUGGCUCAGAUUGAACGCUGGCGGCAUGCCUUACACAUGCAAGUCGAAUGGUAGAGUAGCAAUACUCGAGAGUGGCGAACGGGUGAGUAAUACAUCGGAACGUGCCCAAUCGUGGGGGAUAACGUAGAGAAAUUUACGCUAAUACCGCAUACGAUCUAAGGAUGAAAGCGGGGGAUCGCAAGACCUCGCGCGAUUGGAGCGGCUGAUAUCAGAUUAGGUUGUUGGUGAGGUAAAAGCUCACCAAGCCGACGAUCUGUAGCUGGUUUGAGAGAACGACCAGCCACACUGGGACUGAGACACGGCCCAGACUCCUACGGGAGGCAGCAGUGGGGAAUUUUGGACAAUGGGCGAAAGCCUGAUCCAGCAAUGCCGCGUGCAGGAAGAUGGCCUCGGGUUGGUAAACUGCUUUUGUACGGAACGAAACGGCUCUUUCUAAUAAAGAGGGCUAAUGACGGUACCGUAAGAAUAAGCACCGGCUAACUACGUGCCAGCAGCCGCGGUAAU